rnacentral:rRNA from 1 species
UCGCCUGUUUUAUCAAAAACAUCGCCUCUUGAAGAAAUAUAAGAGGUCCAGCCUGCCCAGUGACCCAGUUCAACGGCCGCGGUAUCCUAACCGUGCGAAGGUAGCGUAAUCACUUGUUCUUUAAAUAAGGACUGGUAUGAAUGGCACCACGAGGGUUACACUGUCUCCUCUUUCUAAUCAGUGAAACUAAUCUCCCCGUGAAGAAGCUGGGAUUUUUUUAUAAGACGAGAAGACCCUAUGGAGCUUUAAACUACUAACACUUGCUGCCAUUCACUCCCCCUUCCAGAAACUUUUUAUUAAGCAUAGCAUCAUGAUUUACAGUUUUCGAUUGGGGUGAUCACGGAGUAAAAAACAACCUCCAUGCCGAAAGGGCCUCCUCCCCUGAGCCAAAAGCUACAACUUAAAGCACUAAAAAAAUUAACGUUUAUUGACCCAAUAAUUUUGAUCAACGAACCAAGUUACCCUAGGGAUAACAGCGCAAUCCACUUCAAGAGCUCCUAUCGACAAGUGGGUUUACGACCUCGAUGUUGGAUCAGGGUAUCCCAGUGGUGCAGCCGCUACUAACGGUUCGUUUGUUCAACGAUUAAAACCCUACGUGAUCUGAGUUCAGACCGG